rnacentral:rRNA from 1 species
AGAGUUUGAUCCUGGCUCAGGACGAACGCUGGCGGCACGCUUAACACAUGCAAGUCGAACGGGAAAUACUUUAUUGAAACUUCGGUCGAUUUAAUUUAUUUCUAGUGGCGGACGGGUGAGUAACGCGUGGGUAACCUGCCUUAUACCAGGGGAUAACAGCCAGAAAUGGCUGCUAAUACCGCAUAAGCGCACAGAACCGCAUGGUUCGGUGUGAAAAACUCCGGUGGUAUAAGAUGGACCCGCGUUGGAUUAGCUAGUUGGCAGGGCAGCGGCCUACCAAGGCGACGAUCCAUAGCCGGCCUGAGAGGGUGAACGGCCACAUUGGGACUGAGACACGGCCCAGACUCCUACGGGAGGCAGCAGUGGGGAAUAUUGCACAAUGGGGGAAACCCUGAUGCAGCGACGCCGCGUGAAGGAAGAAGUAUCUCGGUAUGUAAACUUCUAUCAGCAGGGAAGAUAAUGACGGUACCUGACUAAGAAGCCCCGGCUAACUACGUGCCAGCAGCCGCGGUAAUACGUAGGGGGCAAGCGUUAUCCGGAUUUACUGGGUGUAAAGGGAGCGUAGACGGCGCAGCAAGUCUGAUGUGAAAGGCAGGGGCUUAACCCCUGGACUGCAUUGGAAACUGCUGUGCUUGAGUGCCGGAGGGGUAAGCGGAAUUCCUAGUGUAGCGGUGAAAUGCGUAGAUAUUAGGAGGAACACCAGUGGCGAAGGCGGCUUACUGGACGGUAACUGACGUUGAGGCUCGAAAGCGUGGGGAGCAAACCAGGAUUAGAUACCCUGGUAGUCCACGCCGUAAACGAUGAA